GACUUGGACUGGCCGCCAGGGUCCGGAAGAGGAGCGAGUUCACUCGAUCAUCUACGUUACGUGGGUGGUGGGGAGCGACGAGCUCUGGGUUACUGUGAAGAAAUUAGAGUGUUUAAAGCAGGCAGGAAAGCUUGAAUAGACGAGCAUGGAAUAACAAGAUAGGACAUUGAGAGCCUCUUGUUGGUGAAGGGGGACGGAUGUAAUGAUUAAUAGGGUCAGUUGGGGGCAUUAGUAUUCAGUAGUCAGAGGUGAAAUUCUUGGAUUUACUGAAGACUAACUAGUGCGAAAGCAUUUGCCAAGGAUGUUUUCAUUAAUCAAGAACGAAAGUUAGGGGAUCGAAGACGAUCAGAUACCGUCGUAGUCUUAACUAUAAACGAUGCCGACUAAGGAUCGGCAGGGGUCGGUUAGCGACACUGUCGGGACUUUGUGAGAAAUCAAAGUUUAUGGGUUCUGGGGGGAGUAUGGUCGCAAGGCUGAAACUUAAAGGAAUUGACGGAAGGGCACCACCAGGAGUGGAGCCUGCGGCUUAAUUUGACUCAACACGGGAAAACUCACCAGGUCCGGACAUGGUAAGGAUUGACAGAUUGAGAGCUCUUUCUUGAUUCUGUGGGUGGUGGUGCAUGGCCGUUCUUAGUUGGUGGAGUGAUUUGUCUGGUUAAUUCCGAUAACGAACGAGACCUUGACCUGCUAACUAGAUGCUAGUACGAGAGUAUUGGUAGACUUCUUAGAGGGACUGACCUA
rnacentral:rRNA from 1 species